rnacentral:rRNA from 1 species
CAUAACCUUUAGCUAAACCAGUAUUAAAGGCAACGCCUGCCCAGUGAAUAAUUAAACGGCCGCGGUACCCUAACCGUGCAAAGGUAGCGUAAUCAUUUGUCUAUUAAUUGUAGACCCGUAUGAAAGGCAUAAUGAGGGUUUAACUGUCUCUUUUAGUAAAUCAAUUAAACUGAUCUUCUAGUCCAAAAGCUAGGAUACCAACAUAAGACCAGAAGACCCUGUGAAACUUUAACUAAAAUAUUAAAACCUAUAAUAUCUACUUUAGGUUGGGGCGACCUUGGAAAAUAAAAGAACUUCCACAUACACAUUAUACAUAAUGUACCACCGGCCAACAAGCCUACAACGACCCAGCACAGCUGAUAAUUGAACCAAGCUACUCCAGGGAUAACAGCGCUAUCUUCUUCAAGAGCCCAUAUCAAAAAGAAGGUUUACGACCUCGAUGUUGGAUCAGGACAUCCUAAUGGUGCAACCGCUAUUAAGGGUUCGUUUGUUCAACGAUUAAUAGUCCUACGUGAUC